rnacentral:piRNA from 1 species
CCUAUAAGGAAUAAACGGACGCUACAAU